rnacentral:tRNA from 1 species
GGAGAGGUGCGAGAGCGGUUGAAUCGGGCUCCCUGCUAAGGAGUUGUAUGGGUGACUGUACCGAGGGUUCGAAUCCCUCCCUCUCCG